CCUACGGGCGACAGCAGUGAGGAAUAUUGGUCAAUGGACGAGAGUCUGAACCAGCCAAGUAGCGUGAAGGAUGACUGCCCUAUGGGUUGUAAACUUCUUUUAUAUGGGAAUAAAACGUUCCACGUGUGGGAUUUUGUAUGUACCAUAUGAAUAAGGAUCGGCUAACUCCGUGCCAGCAGCCGCGGUAAUACGGAGGAUCCGAGCGUUAUCCGGAUUUAUUGGGUUUAAAGGGAGCGUAGGUGGAUUGUUAAGUCAGUUGUGAAAGUUUGCGGCUCAACCGUAAAAUUGCAGUUGAAACUGGCAGUCUUGAGUACAGUAGAGGUGUGCGGAAUUCGUGGUGUAGCGGUGAAAUGCUUAGAUAUCACGAAGAACUCCGAUUGCGAAGGCAGUUCACUGGACUGCAACUGACACUGAGGCUCGAAAGUGUGGGUAUCAAACAGGAUUAGAUACCCUAGUAGUC
rnacentral:rRNA from 1 species